rnacentral:rRNA from 1 species
CCUACGGGUGGCAGCAGUGGGGAAUAUUGGACAAUGGGGGAAACCCUGAUCCAGCGACGCCGCGUGAGUGAUGAAGUAUUUCGGUACGUAAAGCUCUAUCAGCAGGAAAGAAAAUGACGGUACCUGACUAAGAAGCCCCUGCUAACUACGUGCCAGCAGCCGCGGUAAUACGUAGGGGCCAAGCGUUCGCCGGAUUUACUGGGUGUAACGGUAGCGGAAACGGCAGAGCAAGUCUGGUGUGAAAUGCCGGGGCCCAACCACGGAACUGCGCAGGAAACUGUGAAGCUGGAGUGCAGGAGAGGGAAGCGGAAUUCCUGGUGUAGCAGUGAAAUGCGUAGAUAUGAGGAGGAACACCGGCGGCGAAGGCGGCUUACUGGACUGUAACUGACGUUGAGGCUCGAAGGCGUGGGGAGCAAACAGGAUUAGAUACCCCUGUAGUC